rnacentral:rRNA from 1 species
UUAAGCGACUAAGCGUACACGGUGGAUGCCCUGGCAGUCAGAGGCGAUGAAGGACGUGCUAAUCUGCGAAAAGCGUCGGUAAGGUGAUAUGAACCGUUAUAACCGGCGAUGUCCGAAUGGGGAAACCCAGUGCAAUUCGUUGCACUAUCGUUAACUGAAUACAUAGGUUAACGAGGCGAACCGGGGGAACUGAAACAUCUAAGUACCCCGAGGAAAAGAAAUCAACCGAGAUUCCCCCAGUAGCGGCGAGCGAACGGGGAGCAGCCCAGAGUCUGAAUCAGCUUGUGUGUUAGUGGAACGGUCUGGAAAGUCCGACGGUACAGGGUGAUAGUCCCGUACACCAAAAUGCACAGGCUGUGAACUCGAAGAGUAGGGCGGGACACGUGGUAUCCUGUCUGAAUAUGGGGGGACCAUCCUCCAAGGCUAAAUACUCCUGACUGACCGAUAGUGAACCAGUACCGUGAGGGAAAGGCGAAAAGAACCCCGGCGAGGGGAGUGAAAAAGAACCUGAAACCGUGUACGUACAAGCAGUGGGAGCACCUUCGGGUGUGACUGCGUACCUUUUGUAUAAUGGGUCAGCGACUUAUAUUCUGUAGCAAGGUUAACCGUAUAGGGGAGCCGCAGGGAAACCGAGUCUUAACUGGGCGUUAAGUUGCAGGGUAUAGACCCGAAACCCGGUGAUCUAGCCAUGGGCAGGUUGAAGGUUGGGUAACACUAACUGGAGGACCGAACCGACUAAUGUUGAAAAAUUAGCGGAUGACUUGUGGCUGGGGGUGAAAGGCCAAUCAAACCGGGAGAUAGCUGGUUCUCCCCGAAAGCUAUUUAGGUAGCGCCUCGUGAAUUCAUCUUCGGGGGUAGAGCACUGUUUCGGCUAGGGGGUCAUCCCGACUUACCAACCCGAUGCAAACUACGAAUACCGAAGAAUGUUAUCACGGGAGACACACGGCGGGUGCUAACGUCCGUCGUGAAGAGGGAAACAACCCAGACCGCCAGCUAAGGUCCCAAAGUCAUGGUUAAGUGGGAAACGAUGUGGGAAGGCACAGACAGCCAGGAUGUUGGCUUAGAAGCAGCCAUCAUUUAAAGAAAGCGUAAUAGCUCACUGGUCGAGUCGGCCUGCGCGGAAGAUGUAACGGGGCUAAACCAUGCACCGAAGCUGCGGCAGCGACACUAUGUGUUGUUGGGUAGGGGAGCGUUCUGUAAGCCUGCGAAGGUGUGCUGUGAGGCAUGCUGGAGGUAUCAGAAGUGCGAAUGCUGACAUAAGUAACGAUAAAGCGGGUGAAAAGCCCGCUCGCCGGAAGACCAAGGGUUCCUGUCCAACGUUAAUCGGGGCAGGGUGAGUCGACCCCUAAGGCGAGGCCGAAAGGCGUAGUCGAUGGGAAACAGGUUAAUAUUCCUGUACUUGGUGUUACUGCGAAGGGGGGACGGAGAAGGCUAUGUUAGCCGGGCGACGGUUGUCCCGGUUUAAGCAUGUAGGCUGAUUGUCCAGGCAAAUCCGGAUAAUCAAGGCUGAGGUGUGAUGACGAGGCACUACGGUGCUGAAGUAACAAAUGCCCUGCUUCCAGGAAAAGCCUCUAAGCAUCAGGUAACAUCAAAUCGUACCCCAAACCGACACAGGUGGUCAGGUAGAGAAUACCAAGGCGCUUGAGAGAACUCGGGUGAAGGAACUAGGCAAAAUGGUGCCGUAACUUCGGGAGAAGGCACGCUGGUGUGUAGGUGAAGUCCCUGCGGAUGGAGCUGAGACCAGUCGAAGAUACCAGCUGGCUGCAACUGUUAUUAAAAACACAGCACUGUGCAAACACGAAAGUGGACGUAUACGGUGUGACGCCUGCCCGGUGCCGGAAGGUUAAUUGAUGGGGUUAUCCGUAAGGAGAAGCUCUUGAUCGAAGCCCCGGUAAACGGCGGCCGUAACUAUAACGGUCCUAAGGUAGCGAAAUUCCUUGUCGGGUAAGUUCCGACCUGCACGAAUGGCGUAAUGAUGGCCAGGCUGUCUCCACCCGAGACUCAGUGAAAUUGAACUCGCUGUGAAGAUGCAGUGUACCCGCGGCAAGACGGAAAGACCCCGUGAACCUUUACUAUAGCUUGACACUGAACAUUGAGCCUUGAUGUGUAGGAUAGGUGGGAGGCUUUGAAGCGUGGACGCCAGUCUGCGUGGAGCCAACCUUGAAAUACCACCCUUUAAUGUUUGAUGUUCUAACGUUGGCCCCUGACCGGGGUUGCGGACAGUGUCUGGUGGGUAGUUUGACUGGGGCGGUCUCCUCCCAAAGCGUAACGGAGGAGCACGAAGGUUAGCUAAUCCUGGUCGGACAUCAGGAGGUUAGUGCAAUGGCAUAAGCUAGCUUGACUGCGAGCGUGACGGCGCGAGCAGGUGCGAAAGCAGGUCAUAGUGAUCCGGUGGUUCUGAAUGGAAGGGCCAUCGCUCAACGGAUAAAAGGUACUCCGGGGAUAACAGGCUGAUACCGCCCAAGAGUUCAUAUCGACGGCGGUGUUUGGCACCUCGAUGUCGGCUCAUCACAUCCUGGGGCUGAAGUAGGUCCCAAGGGUAUGGCUGUUCGCCAUUUAAAGUGGUACGCGAGCUGGGUUUAGAACGUCGUGAGACAGUUCGGUCCCUAUCUGCCGUGGGCGCUGGAGAAUUGAGGGGGGCUGCUCCUAGUACGAGAGGACCGGAGUGGACGCAUCACUGGUGUUCGGGUUGUCAUGCCAAUGGCACUGCCCGGUAGCUAAAUGCGGAAGAGAUAAGUGCUGAAAGCAUCUAAGCACGAAACUUGCCCCGAGAUGAGUUCUCCCUGAGACUUUAAGUCUCCUGAAGGAACGUUGAAGACGACGACGUUGAUAGGCCGGGUGUGUAAGCGCAGCGAUGCGUUGAGCUAACCGGUACUAAUGAACCGUGAGGCUUAACCUU